ensembl:misc_RNA Metazoa_SRP Metazoan signal recognition particle RNA
GCCAGGCGUGGUGGCUCACGCCUGUAAUCCAAGCACUUUGGAGGCCAAGGCGGGUGGAUCACCUGAGGUUGGGAGUUCAAGACCAGCCUGACCAACAUGGUGAAACCCCCGUCUUUU